rnacentral:lncRNA from 1 species
GAACUUGCUGAGACAUAGUCUCAUCCCGAUUGUGGGACAACAUUUCAAGCCCGUAGAUGAGCCUGUGAAGAAGGAACCAGAAGAGGACGAUGAGCCGGUAAAAGAUGAAGAGCUUGAAGGAUGUGAGCUUAGUGAAGAAGAGUCAGAAGAGGAUCAGGAUGAUUCUGAGUACGACUCAGAUGAGGACUGAGAUCCCAUCCUCUUUUGUGAAUCUUGUCUAAAUGUGAAUAGUGUGAAACUAGAAUGUUAUGAAUAGUCUUGUGAAUAGAUUUUGAGUUAUG